rnacentral:rRNA from 1 species
GACGAACGCUGGCGGCGUGCCUAAUACAUGCAAGUCGAGCGGACUGAAUGGGAGCUUGCUCUUGUUCGGUUAGCGGCGGACGGGUGAGUAACACGUGGACAACCUGCCUGCAAGACUGGGAUAACUCCGGGAAACCGGAGCUAAUACCGGAUAACACCGUAGACCGCAUGGUUCUUGGGUGAAAGGCGGCGUAGGCUGCCCCUUUCGGUUGAGCCCGCGCGGCUUUAGUAAUUGGGAGAGGAACGGGCUAACCAGGGCAACAGUCGUAGGCGGCCUGGGGGGGGGGACGGCCACACCGGGACUGGGGCCCCGCCCAAACUCCUACCGGGGGCAGCAGUAGGGGAUCUUCCGGAAUGGGCGAAAGCCUGACGGGGCGACGCCGCGGGGGCGGAGGAGGCCUUCGGGUCGGAAAGAUCUUGUGUGAGGGACGGAGGAGCGCCGUUUGAAGAAGGCCACGCGGUGACGGUACCUCACGAGGAAGCCCCGGCUAACUACGUG